UACAGAGGGGGCAAGCGUUAUUCGGAAUUAUUGGGCGUAAAGAGCUCGUAGGCGGUCUGUCGCGUCUGCUGUGAAAACUCAGGGCUUAACCCUGAGCUUGCAGUGGGUACGGGCAGACUAGAGUGCGGUAGGGGAGACUGGAAUUCCUGGUGUAGCGGUGAAAUGCGCAGAUAUCAGGAGGAACACCGGUGGGCGAAAGGCGG
rnacentral:rRNA from 1 species